GGGUGGAUUCCCGAGCGGUCAAAGGGGGCAGACUGUAAAUCUGCUGGCUCCGCCUUCGUAGGUUCGAUUCCUACUCCACCCA
rnacentral:tRNA from 1 species